rnacentral:rRNA from 1 species
UACGUAGGAGACGAGCGUUGUCCGGAAUUACUGGGCGUAAAGCGCGUGUAGGCGGAUGGGCAAGUCUGCUGUGAAAGCUCCUGGCUUAACCGGGAGUGGUCGGUGGAAACUGCUCGUCUGGAGGACGGUAGAGGCUGGUGGAAUUCCCGGUGUAGUGGUGAAAUGCGUAGAGAUCGGGAGGAACACCUGUGGCGAAGGCGGCCAGCUGGGCCGGACCUGACGCUGAGACGCGAAGGCGUGGGGAGCGAACGGG